rnacentral:rRNA from 1 species
AUGACAAAUUUCCUGGCUUGGAGCUUGUCAAAAACAGGAGUCUUCACGGUUCGGUCAGCCUAUCAUGCUAUUUGGGAGCAUCAAUUUGGGAGUAAACUACAGGCUGGCAGUAGUUCAUCAUCUCCAAAUACGAAGUGGGUGGCUUUAUGGAGCAUCCAAUGCCCAUCGAAAAUCAAAAAAUUUAUAUGGAGAGUAGUACAGAGUGCUAUUCCCUAUCGUGCGUUAUUAGCUGAUCGACACAUUAAAAUCAAGGCUGAAUGCCCUUCUUGCAAAUUGGGCCCAAAAACUAUUCGGCACCUUUUGUUUGAAUGCCCGAUGGCUGUGGAAGUUUGGAAACUGUUGGGGUAUCAUGAUGAAGUAAUGAAGGCAUUACAAUCAAACAGAGCAGGAGAGAUGGUCAUGGAAUAUCUGCUCAAUGUUUCGGACAAUGAAGUGCAUGUUCUUGGGCUUCCAAAGUUUAGAGAAACAAUGGGAACAUGUUGCUGGUACCUGUGGUGGGUACGUCAGAAUCUAACACAUGGGGGAGAAGCACAAAAUGCAGACCAGAUUAAUCUAGCAGUAAGAGCUCUAGCGGCGAAUUUUACCCUUUCUUGUACCUCUAAGGCAAAAGUACAUACAGGAGCAUGGACCAAACCCAGGCGUGGUUAUGUAAAGCUGAAUGUUGAUGCGGGUUUUGACCCAGACUUGCUACAAGGAACUGUUGGAGCUGUUAUUAGAGACCACACAGGAAAAUUCAUUGUUGCUGCUAAUGAAAGAUUGGACAUUUGUUAUGAUGCGUUCACAGCUGAAGCGAUUGCGGUAAGGUUUGGCCUGAACCUUGCCCACACUGUUGGAUGCAGCAAAAUUGAACUGAACUCAGACAGUCUAGAGGUUGUCGCUGCACUUCAGGAGGGGUAUUCUUCUUCUGUGGCGAGUGCUGUUUUUGAUGACUGCUACUUUAUGUCCUUAGAUUUCACCACUGUUGCAAAAGGCAGUGCCUAG